AUACGUAGGGGACGAGCGUUGUCCGGAAUUACUGGGCGCAAAGGGCGCGCAGGCGGAUAUUUAAGUCAGCUGUAAAAGGCAUGAGCUCAACUCAUGUAUGCGGUUGAAACUGGGUAUCUAGAGUGCUGGAGAGGUAGGCGGAAUUCCCGGUGUUGUGGUGAAAUGCGUAGAUAUCGGGAAGAACAUCAGUGGCCAAGGCGGCUUACUGGCCAGCAACUGACGCUGAGGCGCGAAAGCCAGGGGAGCGAACGGGAUUAGAUACCCCGGUAGUCCUGGCCGUAAACGAUGAAUGCUAGGUGUGGGUGUCGAGAGGCAUCCGUGCCGGAGUUAACGCGAUAAGCAUUCCGCCUGGGGAGUACGAUCGCAAGAUUGAAACUCAAAUGAAUCGGCGGGG
rnacentral:rRNA from 1 species